GCUUUUUUUUGUUUUUGUUUUUUUACUAUUUUACGGUAACUUUAAAAAAUAUUUGUUUAACUGGCUGUGCAGGAUCUUUGCUGCAGUGUGAGGGACCUUUAGUCAUAGCACAAAAUCUCCUGGUUGCAGCGUGUGGUGUCUAGUUCCCUGACCAGGGAUCAAACCCGUGCCCCCUGCCUUGGGAGCGCGGUCUCAGUCACUGGAUCACCAAGGAAGUCCCUUAUGGUAACUUCUGAUGAACCAGGUCCUGACUGCCCACUGUAAAACUAGGGAGAUCAUAACCUCUGCUCAGAAGCAGAAAGAAGGAGCAGCUGGAGCCAGCUCCUCACAGCCGGAUCUGCAGGGGCCUCUGAGAGGAGCGUCUUUGUAUCUGCCACUCCAGGGUUUAUAAUAUUUACCAUCAUCAUAGCACAAUCCUCAUUGUUUCAUGUUAGUCAUAAAUGUAAGUAUUCGCAUCACUAACCCCCGGUGCUUUUACCAUGCCCUGGCUAGAGUUCUUUCUUUUGGCUGGUCUUUUGUUUGCUUGGGUUUCUUGUCCAGUAUUUCUUUCAAGAAGGAUUCAUGGGUUCUAUAUUCCUGAGCUCUUUUAUAUUUGAGAAGGUCUGACUUUUGCUUUCUUCCUGAAGGACUACUUGGCUAAAUCAAACUCUUCCCAUCCCCGCCCCCACCCCCCAACAAAGAGUAGACAUUGCUCUUUGGAUGCGUGUGAAGUUAAUGAGUUUUCCACCCCGUAUUGUAAAUUAUGUACUUUUUUCUGGUUGUAUGCUUAAAUAAUCAGUUCCUUAGCACUGAUGUUUAGGGACCUCCCUGUUUGUCUGGUGGUGAAGACUUCACCUUCCAAUGCAGGGACUGUAGGUUCAGUCCCUGAUCUGAAAGCCAAGAACCCACAUGUCUCUUGGCCAAAAAACCAAAACAUAAAACAGAAGCAAUAUUGCAACACAUUUAAUAAUAAAGACUUGAAAAGUGGUACAGAUAAAAAAAAAUCUUAAAAAAUG
ensembl:lncRNA